GGCCUGUGAUGCAUAUCAAUUUGUCCGUACCAUCUGAGAUUUCUUUCUCUGAUCGAUACACCAAUCCUUUCAGAUCUGAGGCCA